UAAGCAUCCAGCCACAUCCAGUAGUAAAUAGAUGUUGGGAAGUAAUAGUAGUAUACAGUCAAAAUGUCCUAGCAAAACCCACUAUAGGAAAGUCGAGAACUAAUAGAGGAUUCCAUUAGCUAGCUGCAUUUGCCGAAUUGUACUUACACUGCAACCAUAUCAAGCGCCUCUCAUUCUUCAGAGAGAUAAAAGUUUCUCUGGCAUUUGAAUUCUCGAAUAAAUCCAAUGCAAAAAAGUAGAUACUUUGAUCUACACCUUGCAUUUCAUCUAAUACUUUUAUGCAUUUGCUUAUAGCAAAGCGUUCCUCAUUCCUCAUAAUGGCAGCUGCCCUCAUCUUCGAAGCAGCUGCAAUUUCCAGCAUUGCAUCAACUAUAGCAUCACCAGUUGCCUUGCGACUUCUCUUGCGACGACCUGAAUUUGGCGUUACAGUUUGAUGCUUAUUGUGCCCAUCUAACAUGUUUAUGUCCUCUCCUGAGCCUGAAGAAGCAUCCUCCUCCACCAAAGCAGGAUCAGCAGACAUGGUGAAAUGUCUUUGCAUUACCAGGCAGGCACAGGAUUUCUACCUCCUGAACGAAUUUCAGACGAUGGAGGUGCCGAUGGCUGAGAGAGGGGCGCUGCAACGGUCGACGGCUUAGGGUUUUG
rnacentral:misc_RNA from 1 species